rnacentral:rRNA from 1 species
UAAGGAAUAUUGGUCAAUGGACGCAAGUCUGAACCAGCCAUGCCGCGUGAAGGAUGAAGGUCCUCUGGAUUGUAAACUUCUUUUAUCUGGGACGAAAAAAGCUCAUUCUUGAGCACUUGACGGUACCAGAAGAAUAAGCACCGGCUAACUCCGUGCCAGCAGCCGCGGUAAUACGGAGGGUGCAAGCGUUAUCCGGAUUUACUGGGUUUAAAGGGUGCGUAGGUGGGUCUGUAAGUCAGUGGUGAAAUCUUCGAGCUUAACUCGGAAACUGCCAUUGAUACUAUAGGUCUUGAAUCAUCUGGAGGUGAGCGGAAUAUGUCAUGUAGCGGUGAAAUGCUUAGAGAUUACAUGGAAUACCGAUUGCGAAGGCAGGUUACUACCAAUGGAUUGACGCUGAUGGACGAAAGCGUGGGUAGCGAACA